rnacentral:rRNA from 1 species
GACGAACGCUGGCGGCGUGCUUAACACAUGCAAGUCGAACGGAAAGGCCCUGCUUUUGUGGGGUGCUCGAGUGGCGAACGGGUGAGUAACACGUGAGUAACCUGCCCUUGACUUUGGGAUAACUUCAGGAAACUGGGGCUAAUACCGGAUAGGAGCUCCUGCUGCAUGGUGGGGGUUGGAAAGUUUCGGCGGUUGGGGAUGGACUCGCGGCUUAUCAGCUUGUUGGUUGGGUAGUGGCUUACCAAGGCUUUGACGGGUAGCCGGCCUGAGAGGGUGACCGGCCACAUUGGGACUGAGAUAAGGCCCAGACUAGUACGGGAGGCAGCAGUGGGGAAUAUUGCACAAUGGGCGGAAGGCUGAUGCAGCAACGCCGCGUGCGGGAUGACGGCCUUCGGGUUGUAAACCGAUUUCGCCUGUGACGAAGCGUGAGUGACGGUAAUGGGUAAAGAAGCACCGGCUAACUACGUG